UGUGGAUGAAUCUUGUCACUUUCACUUUUUACAAUAAAAUACUACAAAAGAUUAAAUUAUGCUUUGAAAUUGUGGUGUGGUAGAACACUGAUUCACACACAUGUGGAGAUGAGUGUUGCUGAAUUUGAUAGAGGUUUGCUUUGAAGUACAUGUUCCCUUGACUUCUAAAGGACACCUUGGUAUCUUGAACAAUCUGUUUAAAAUGCUGGUCAAAAAUCUCUUUUAAAUAGUGACUCGUCCCUUGUAACACUUCUUCUAACAUAACAUUUAGUUCCCAUCCUGCUCUUCUCUUGUUUCCUUCGGUUUUGCUUGCACUGACAAAACCUCCUGAACUGAGAUUUGAGGCUAAGGUUGAAAGGUGCCGGGUUAACCCUUUUAUUGCUGUAACUACCCCUACAUUCAGAAGUUUAACGCUAUCUGUGGUAAAAUGUGGUCUUGUCUUGCAAAUUAAUUCAUCGUAAUGAAGUUCAUCAUGGUUUUGAAGCACUGGUGCAGUUCCUGUAUGCAUAUGUUCUGCUCUGAGUUCCUGGUUCUCUGGCAACUCUGAAUGGAAAGAUUUUUCAGAGAACUAAUUUUAGCUCUGCUGCUGGUUUUUCCACAGGAGGGCAUGGUUUGGUUUUGCAGCGCCUGGGAAACAGUAAAACCAGAAGUAUUAGUUCUGUCCAUAUGGAGAUCCACGAAAAAUUGCAUACCUCAA